GGAUAGCGGAGAAAUUCCAAUCGAACUCGGAGAUAGCUGGUUCUCCUCGAAAUAGCUUUAGGGCUAGCCUCGAGCUGGAGUCUAACGGAGGUAAAGCACUGAACUGACGCGGGGCCCAAAAAGGUUACCAACUCAUAUCAAACUAAGAAUGCCGUCAAGAUACCCUCGGGAGUCAGUCUGCGUGAGAUAAGUCGCGUGGACAAAAGGGAAAGAGCCCAGACCGACAGCUAAGGUCCCAAAGUACGUGUUAAGUGGAAAAGGAUGUGGGAUUUCAUAGACAACUAGGAUGUUGGCUUAGAAGCAGCCAUACAUUUAAAGAGUGCGUAAUAGCUCACUAGUCGAGAAAACCUGCGCCGAAAAUGUAACGGGGCUAAAACACGACACCGAAGCUACGGAUUCCUUACAAAGUAAGGAGUGGUAGAGGAGCAUCCUGCAAGGACGAAGCCAAAGUGAGAGCGAUGGUGGACGAAACAGGAGAGAGAAUGCCGGAAUGAGUAGCGAGAUACAUGUGAGAAACAUGUAGGCCGAAUAUCUAAGGAUUCCUGGGUAAAGCUAAUCUUCCCAGGGUUAGUCGGGGCCUAAGGCGAGGACGAAAGUCGUAGUCGAUGGAUAACAGGUUGAUAUUCCUGUACUACACAUAAUCAGAACUGUGGGGACGCAGGAGGAUAGGGAAACCGGGGAAUGGAAAGACCCGGUCAAGCGUAAAGCUGUGGGAGAUAGGCAAAUCCGUCUCCUGUAAGUGAAACGUGAUGAGGACUGAAAAAAAGUAAGGAAGUUUCCGAAUCCACACUGCCGAGAAAAGCCGCUAUUGCGUUAUGUGUACCCGUACCGUAAACCGACACAGGUAGAUGAGGAGAAAAUCCACAGGCCGACGGGAGAAGUGUUGUUAAGGAACUCGGCAAAAUGACCCCGUAACUUCGGGAUAAGGGGAGCCUCGCAAGAGGCCGCAGAAAAGAGGCACAAGCAACUGUUUAGCAAAAACACAGGUCUAUGCGAAACCGUAAGGUGAUGUAUAUGGGCUGACGCCUGCCCGGUGCUGGAAGGUUAAGAGGAGAGGUUAGCGCAAGCGAAGCUUUGAAUUUAAGCCCCAGUAAACGGCGGCCGUAACUAUAACGGUCCUAAGGUAGCGAAAUUCCUUGUCGGGUAAGUUCCGACCCGCACGAAAGGCGUAAUGAUUUGGGCACUGUCUCAACAACACACCCGGUGAAAUUGAAGUACCAGUGAAGAUGCUGGUUACCCGCGCCAGGACGGAAAGACCCCAUGGAGCUUUACUCCAGUUUGAUACUGGGAUUCGGUACUGCACGUACAGGAUAGGUGGGAGACUGAGAACUAUGGACGCCAGUCUGUAGGGAGUCGCUGUUGGUGUAUUUCAUCUUUCCGUCGGAUUCGUAGGCCAGGCUCGUCGAACCGGUCUUGACCGCGAACUCCAGUUCGGCGAAGAACCCGAAAUGGCCUUUGGCAUCGAUCCCGGCGUACGAACGUAGGAACGCCCCGUAGGAAGCGGAGUGGCUCUUGAGGCUGACGUUUGCGAAAGACAUGUUCACGUCGUUGACUUCGCCCAGGUCGAGCGUGGCGCUUCCCAGAUUGCCUUCCAUCUGCGUAUAGCCGAAACGGGCGCCGACGCUCAGGUUGUCUUUGAUGAAGUAGCCGAACGACGGGUUGACCGUAAAGAUGCUGCCGCUGAGGUUGAUCCCGUCGAGGAUCAGCAUGUAGUCGGUAUCGUCGCUCGACAGGGUGCCGUACGAAACGGUGAUACCGGCCGCCAUCUCGCCUUUGUAGACGAACUUGAUCUUGUUGAUCUCCCGGUCGAUGCGACGACGGGUGGGUAAAAACGGUUUGGUUUGGGCCGUUGCGGAUUCUGCGGGCUGCAACCCGGCCUG
rnacentral:rRNA from 1 species